UACGUAGGGUGCAAGCGUUUGUCCGGAAUUACUGGGCGUAAAGCGUGCGCAGGCGGUUCGUUAAGUCAGCUGUGAAAGCCCCGAGCUUAACUUGGGAAUUGCGGUUGAAACUGGCGGACUAGAAUCUGGCAGAGGGGGGUGGAAUUCCACGUGUAGCAGUGAAAUGCGUAGAGAUGUGGAGGAACACCGAUGGCGAAGGCAGCCCCCUGGGCUGAGAUUGACGCUCAGGCACGAAAGCGUGGGGAGCAAACAGGG
rnacentral:rRNA from 1 species